rnacentral:rRNA from 1 species
AACGAACGCUGGCGGCAUGCCUAACACAUGCAAGUCGAACGAGACCUUCGGGUCUAGUGGCGCACGGGUGCGUAACGCGUGGGAACCUGCCCUUAGGUUCGGAAUAACUCCCCGAGAGGGGUGCUAAUACCGGAUAAUGUCUUCGGACCAAAGAUUUAUCGCCUUUGGAUGGGCCCGCGUUGGAUUAGCUAGUUGGUAGGGUAAAAGCCUACCAAGGCGACGAUCCAUAGCUGGUCGGAGAGGAUGAUCAGCCACACUGGGAAUGAGACACGGCCCAGACUCCGACGGGAGAGAGCAGUGGGGAAUAUUGGACGAGGGGCGAAAGUCUGACACAGCAAUGCCGCGUGAGUGAGGAAGGCCUUAGGGUUGUAAAGCUCUUUUACCCGGGAUGAUAAUGACAGUACCGGGAGAAUAAGCUCCGGCUAACUACGUG